UACGAAGGGGGCUAGCGUUGCUCGGAAUCACUGGGCGUAAAGCGCGUGUAGGCGGCCUUCUCAGUCUGGUGUGAAAGCCCGGGGCUCACCCCCGGAAGUGCAUUGGAUACUGGAAGGCUGGAGUACCGAAGAGGAGAGUGGAAUUCCCGGUGUAGCGGUGAAAUGCGCAGAUAUCGGGAAGAACACCCGUGGCGAAGGCGGCUCUCUGGGACGGUACUGACGCUGAGACGCGAAAGCGUGGGGAGCGAACAGG
rnacentral:rRNA from 1 species